AUUCGAAAAAGUCCAUUCGACCAACGCCUAUAUCUGGUCAGGUUAUUCGUUUGAGAGAUGGUUUUGGGCCUAGUAAUGGUUAUGUUGAGGUACAAGGUGUGCUGCCUGGUUGGGGUAUUCUAUGCGAUUCUAGAAAUAGUUGGACUUUAAGAGAAGCUCACAUUUUAUGUAGACAGCUCGGAUAUAGCAGAUCAUCCUCAGUGUAACAAGUUUGUAAUUAUCCGGAAAACAACGAUGACAUAUUUAUUUUUUCAUUACGCGUGCCCAAU